ACUCCUCCAAGAACAUCAUCUCAGACCUUCAAAAGGGAGAACCCAGGCCAUAAAUCGUCAUUCACCCUUCUCUUCUCACCUUUCCUCUCGUCCCUGGACACAUCAGUCUGUUUGUGAGCCCCAAAACUCCUAGUUAGAGACCUCCGAUUAAAAAAAUUUCUUCAUCAAAAUUGUUCGUCUAUGUCUCCUCUAUCUAGCCUCAAAAUUUCAGCUCCAUUGGAGUCGAUUUGAGUCCUGUACACCCAUCAAAGAGGAAGCUGUUCUGAAACAAGCUUGUUCCGGAUUUCUGCUUGAAUUCCCUCUCUAGCUCUACCCGAAUCCCUCACAUCUUACUUGAGACUGAUACAAACACUUGAUGGAGCGAAUUUCUUGACCUGCAACUGGGCUCGAUCCAAUCAGCUCCCUCAGCUCUCUUUUCUAUUGAAACCCUCAAGAGAAACUCAUCUUUUUGGUUAGUCUUUGGCUUGAUAUCGUGGUAGGAUCUUGUGAAGUGGUGGUUGCUACAAGGUUGCAUUGAGGCCAAGUACUGCAAGAGAAAGCUCAAGUUCCAGUUUGUUUUGCAGGCUGUUGUUGUCGAAGCUUGGAUACAGAGGAUAAUCCUUGGAGGCCAAAAUUUGUUUUGUUUAGAGUUUAUUUUAUUUGGCUUGUUUGAUUUCGUUAAUUUUUUGUAACGUUAUGUAUGGUUGAUGAUGUGUGUGUGAUUGCUUACCACCAAAA